AUGUUUUAUGAACAUUUCAGUGUCUCUUUUGAUGUUUCUGUACGACGGCUCAAUGACUUUGUAUCACUGUGGUGGACUUUUGGUGGAGGAACCAGACUGGAUGUUGGAAGUGAUGUCCGUCCCACUCUGACGGUGCUGCCCCCCUCCCAUGAGGAGCUGCAGCAGGGGAAGGCCACACUCAUGUGCCUGGCCAACAAGGGCUUCCCCUCAGGCUGGAGUCUGGCCUGGAAGGUGGACGGCAGCAGCAGCAGCUUGGAUCAGAUCAGGAGCCCCGGGGUGCUGGGGAAGGACGGCACCUACAGCUGGAGCAGCACCCUGAGGCUCACUGCAGACCAGUGGACGAAGGUGGGCUCUGUGACCUGUGAGGCCACCCAGGGCUCCCAGACUCCGGUCUCAGAGACACUGAGGACAGAGCAGUGUUCCCAGUCCUGACCUGACUCUCUGAGACUCUGCUGCUGGUUUUACUCUGCUCCUGCUCUCACUCUGCUCUCUGUAACUGUCUCUCUCUCUCUUUAUGAGUCUCUCAGAUGUGUUUGCUCGUUCUUUGUCAUUUGUCAUUUCAAUAUUUCCAGAUAAUAAAGAUCAGUUCAUCCAAUA